GACGAACGCUGGCGGCGUGCUUAACACAUGCAAGUCGAACGGUGAAGCGCCUUCCUUUUUGGUGGGUGUGGAUGAGUGGCGAACGGGUGAGUAACACGUGAGUAACCUGCCCCCUUCUUCUGGAUAACCGCAUGAAAGUGUGGCUAAUACGGGAUAUUCUGGGUCUGUCGCAUGAUGGGUCUGGGAAAGAUAUUGUUUCGGUGGGGGAUGGGCUCGCGGCCUAUCAGCUUGUUGGUGGGGUGAUGGCCUACCAAGGCGGUGACGGGUAGCCGGCCUGAGAGGGUGGACGGUCACACUGGGACUGAGACACGGCCCAGACUCCUACGGGAGGCAGCAGUGGGGAAUAUUGCACAAUGGGCGCAAGCCUGAUGCAGCGACGCCGCGUGAGGGAUGGAGGCCUGCGGGUUGUCAACCUCUUUCGCCAGUGAAGCAGGCCUGCCUCGUUUGUGGGUGGGUUGACGGUAGCUGGAUAAGAAGCGCCGGCUAACUACGUG
rnacentral:rRNA from 1 species